rnacentral:siRNA from 1 species
AACGUCUCCAAGAAUCCUAACCU